rnacentral:rRNA from 1 species
UACGAAGGGGCUAGCGUUGCUCGGAAUGACUGGGCGUAAAGGGCGCGUAGGCGGAUGGCACAGUCAGAUGUGAAAUUCCCGGCUUAACCUGGGGCUGCAUUUGAUACGUGUGAUCUAGAGUGAGGAAGAGGGUCGUGGAAUUCCCAGUGUAGAGGUGAAAUUACGUAGAUAUUGGGAAGAACACCGGUGGCGAAGGCGGCGACCUGGUCCUUGACUGACGCUGAGGCGCGAAAGCGUGGGGAGCAAACAGG